CCCACUCCAGAGAAUCCCUGAUGUCCCAAAAUUUGGUUGAGAUCUAAAGUUUAUUUUGCUGUACACCUCUUUGUCUGCAGUUUUACUUACUCCCAACAAAGAAGGUGCGUUUUCCUGCCUCCAUGACGAUGGAGGGGAGGCAACUCCUUUCUGGAAUUUCAUCUGGCUUCCAGCAGGGAAGCAAGAUUAAGAAGACCCCCAGGAGCAGAAGCCCUCGCCGCAGCACCAGCUGUUUCCUGGACAAUUUAGCGCCGUCCUGUGGAUGUUCCGGCAAAGGUUCUUCUUGGCGCAUCUGCUGAUCUGACUGAGGCUCGCCUGUCUUUCCAACAUCGUUCGUUAAAAUUCCUUCAAGGUUUUCAGGGCACCCUGGGAGGAAAAAGGAACUUAGCAGCUUAAAAGGGAUUUUUUUUUUCAUUUUUAUAAAGGGCUAUGUAUAAAAGGAAUAUGUGCUAAUAGUGGAGAGAAAGUUAAUUCAGGACACUAUUGCUACAGUGAAUAAAUAAAAGAAAUCUUAUCG
rnacentral:lncRNA from 10 species